UAUCUUUGUCCCCGCAAUGGUUUCCCCUCGCGGGGAAUUAAAAGGGAAUGCCGUGUGAAUCGGCAACAGUUCCCGCUGCUGUGAGUCCCGCCCGUCGAGGGCAUGAAAGGAUGCGACAAUCUGAGCCACUGGUGAAAACCGGGAAGGCGCCGCAUCCGGGACGAGUCAGAAGACCUGCCGUGCACGAUAGAGAGUUU
rnacentral:ncRNA from 14 species